CAACUGUGUCACAAUCAUACAGUGCUGGAGUUUAUUUAUCAGAAUCAAACACAAUAUCAGAUUAUUAUUAUCAUAUCUGGUCUGAUGAACGGACUUCUGCUCAUUCUGCUGAUCCUUUCUGCUUUUGGAAAAACAGAACGGCUGGAAAAACACAUUCAUGCUGAUCUGCAGACAAACGUUACAUAUCAGCUUCAAGACACAGAACUAUUACAAGCACAAUAAGUGCGCCGAGGGGACUUUUCUAUAAAAAUAGUCAAGUCAACAGCAUCUGUGUAUGAUUAUAUAACAUGUUCUUGGAUAUGAUGUGGAUUUUCCUGAAGAAUAAAUAGUUUUACAAAAUCAAGAGUACAAAAUCAACUGGGGCUAGUUGUCACACUUUUCUAGUAAAAAAUAUUAUUUAGAGCAUUGUUUAGAAAUAAAACUUGAUGACUUGCAUACACAAACUAUAAAACUAAACACUGAAUAACAUUUAAUAUUUCCAGCAUUAGCAGCCAGAGAAAAGACAGUUUAGGAGUUUAAACAGAUCGGCUACGCAUUAAGCAUCAUUGUCAGACUAAUUGGUAAAUAUUACUUUAGUUAACAAGUCUGAUGGUUUUUUUUAUAUUUAUUUAUUUUUUUUUGUAACAAGUUCAUUUGCAUUUAGCCUUUAAAAGGUUUUUGUAUGUAACAAUAAAUUAACAAUAAAUUAAAGCGGUCAAAGGCUGCUAGAUGUUUAAUA